UGUCGGCCUUUCCAUCGCUGAGAUGAUGACUAAGGUCUAUGCCAAGGUUAGUGGAGAACCUUCGCUGGAGUCGCCAACAGUUGAUGUCAGCUCCAAGGAAUUUUAUGGCGAGGGUUACGAUGACAGCGACAAGAGAACUCCAGACAUGACCAUAAUAAAUAAACAACUUGGUUGGAACCCGAAGACAUCCUGUGGGACUUGCUUGAAUCUACCCUAACCUAUCAACACAGGACUUAUGCCGAGGCUAUUAAGAAAUCCAAUGCUAAACCUAGUGCAUACUAAGGAGACUAAAUGUCUACGAAGGAUUCGCCGAAUGUGCUUAUUGGAAAAUGUUUUCGUUCGUUCGUUCGUUCGUUUAAAUAUAUCAUAAUGUUGAUUUACAUCCUGCCUUUUUUGUCUUCCCUGUGUUGGUAGUCGAUAGCCAACUGUAGCUCAGGCAGCUAUGUUACGAGCACGGUAUUACAUGGGAAUGGUAAUGUAUCGGUAAUAUGAUUAUU